UAUUUGAGUAUGAUUGCCAAUAUCUAAUUCCAAAAAAAAUAUUGUUUUAUAAACAAAAAUACUCAUGACAAUCUUUUUUAAAACAACUGAAUUUUUGGUACUUCUUGGAAUAUAAUAAUCGUUCCCAUAUAGAAGUGCAAUUAAAAUGCGAUACUUAACCUUAUAAUUUAUAGAGGUUAUGUUGUGAAACAAACGUAAUAAAAAUGGCUUAUUUAACAAGAAAAGAAAUAGACGAAAUGAAACCACAAAUAGAAAAAGCAGUUCAUAAAUUUCUUGGUUUUGGGGAACCUGCUAUUGUGACUACAGCUGUCAAUUGUAUUACUUCAGGUUACGAUAAACGCAAAACAGCAGAUAAAUUAUCCGCUUUAUUGGAAGAUAAAAAAGCUUCAAAAUUAACUGAAAAAAUAUUUGCAAUAUAUGAUGAUGCCAAAGCAGCUCAGAAAAGUAAAAAACGGAAUCAUGUGGAAGACAAGGAUAAAGACAAAGAUGCAAAAAAACCUAGGUUUAGGGAUGAUGAAAUCAAAAAUGAAAAGACAACGGAAGCACAAUUAUCUGCUGAUAAGAUAAGACAAAUGAUGGCUAAUGCCCAAAAAGAAAUUGAAGAAAGAAAAAGAGCAUUAAAAGCUAUAAAACAAGAAGAGGUUCCACCAGUAAAACCUUUACUUAAAAGAGAUUCUUUACCAACCGUAGGAAGCAUGUACAAUCAGGGUUUAUUAAGUAAAACAGAUUCUGACAAAGCACGAAAAAUUGCUGCUUUGCAAGCUCAAAUUAGAAGUAAACUAAGUUCAGGACUAUUAGGUAAUGUCAGUGUUCCAGAUAAACCAACUCCUCUAAUUUUGGAUGAAUCUGGCAGAACCGUAGAUAUAACAGGCAAAGAAGUACAAUUAACACAAGUAGUGCCAACGUUAAAAGCUAACAUUAGAGCGAAAAAACGUGAAGAAUUUAAAGCCCAAUUACAAGAAUCAAAAGGUCCAGAAGAAAUUCAAGAUACACACUUUUUUGAUACUAGAAUAGGUGUAAAACCUGCAGUAAGAGGCAAACGUACUCUCAAAUUUCAUGAACCUGGAAAGUUCCAACAGUUAGCUGAAAGAAUUCGUAUGAGAGCUCAGUUAGAAAAGUUACAAAAUGAAAUUAGUCAAAUUGCUAGAAAGACUGGUAUAAGUUCAGCAACUAAAUUAGCCCUCAUAGCUCCAAAAACAGAAGCUCUAAGCGAAGAUGUGCCUAACGUAGAGUGGUGGGAUUCUGUUAUAUUAACAGGAGGAUACCCAGACGAAAAUGAAUCCACAACUAUUAAAAGUUCCACUAUUACAAAUUUAGUAGAACAUCCUACGCAAAUGCGACCACCAACUGAUCCUUUAAAACCUAUAUAUAUGCCUGUAUUUCUAACGAAAAAAGAACGCAAAAAAUUACGAAGACAAAAUAGACGAGAAGCUUGGAAAGAGGAACAAGAAAAAAUUCGAUUAGGUCUUGAACCACCUCCAGAACCAAAAUUACGAAUUUCGAAUCUUAUGCGAGUAUUAGGUACAGAAGCUGUUCAAGAUCCUACGAAAAUAGAAGCUCAUGUUCGACAGCAAAUGGCUAAAAGAUUAAAAGCACAUGAAGAUGCUAAUGCAGCUCGAAGACUUACUGCCGACCAGCGACGUGAAAAGAAGGCGCGAAAACUUAAGGAGGAUACCACGCUCGGUGUACAUGUAGCUGUUUAUAGAAUACGUGACCUUUUAAAUAACGCUUCAAAGAAAUUUAAAGUGGAAACAAAUGCAAAACAACUUUACCUCACGGGCUGUGUAAUGCUUUUCCGAGACUGUAAUGUUGUUGUUGUAGAAGGAGGAGCAAAACAAUUAAGUAAAUAUAAACGAUUAAUGAUGAAUCGAAUUAAAUGGGAAGAAGAUAUUAUAAAAGAUAAUGAUGGAAAUGAUGUACCGAACAAAUGUGUUCUCGUAUGGGAAGGUACUAGCAAACAACGUCAUUUUGGAGAAAUCAAAUUUAAAGUUUGUCCAAUUGAAAAAAUGGCUCGAGAGCAUUUUAAAAAACACCAAGUUGAACAUUAUUGGGAUUUAGCUUAUAGUGGAGCAGUACUUGAUAACACAGAUGAUAUCCGUUCUUGAAAAUGGAUUCUGUAAUUUCAGCAAUAAAUGCUAAUAUGGACGCAAUGAUAGAUAAUUUCAAUACAUUUUAAUUUAUCUGCCCACGCUGAAUAUAAAUAAUCACACAUGACACGUAAUGUCCUUUUGUGGAUUGCCGCAUCCAGAUUGUAGGCGUGUGUUCGAGUCUGUAUAAUCAACGCAGUUAAUCAUUCGCAACGUCGUAUUCAAGAAUUUCAAUCUAUAGGUAACAUUACAGUCAAGCCUGUAAGUGUCAAUUAGCAUAGUGCAACGGCAUUGAGAGGCUAUACACGAGGUAUGCUGUAAAAGAACACGCAACAUAUGUAUAUAUACAGCAUGCCAUAUAUACGAAAGUGUGAAUGCACUUUGGAGCCUUGAAACUGUACGUCCAACCGCGACUACGAAUAACAUAGUCUAUGAAAGGUGAACCUUGGUCUUGUUCAUAAUACCAAUCUAGCUGCAACCACGAUGCGCUUUUACCGUAUCUUUCAAGUGUUAUACGUCGACCGAGCAAUACAUCGUUGACACCCUAUAUUAACAUGAUCCUUACUUGGCCCCACUCUUUGAACCCACUGAACGGACUGAAGUUUUACUUUCGUUCGAGGAUCGGUCUUAGUUCAGGUUUACCGCUUCGUGUUCUUGCGCAUACCCGGCGCGGCUCUUGCGAAAUUUUACGAGGCAAAUGAAUUUUAUCAAUUACUAUCAUACUGGGAUAGUUUUGAAAAAAAUGCCCGUGUGUAUAAGACGAAGAUCGAUCAACGGUAUAUUUCUCUUCCUAUCGCGGUGAGUGUUUUGCGUUUUCAUUUUACGAGAUAAAACGAAACGCGGCCACUUCACUGGCAUACAGUGAAUUCUAGUGAAAUUUGAAGUUAUUUCAUCUAUGAAAUUAACAUUUGAUACAUUCAAUAUUUAGAAAUGAUUUUUUCAUUUACAUUUUAAAGAUAAUGUCAAAAUUAAAAAUAUAUAUAAUUAUAUCUUUAAAAUCUUGUAUCAAUAUUCAAUUAUUAUAAAAAUAGAUAUUUUACCGAAGAAGAAAUAUUAUCAAAAAUAUUAGAAUAUUGAUUAAUAAUUCUACGUUACUUGUCAACAUGAAUAAAUUUGAUGAAAUAUAACUUCAUAUGUAUAAUAGGAAAACAUCACUAUUCAGUGAUUUAUUUUUGUGAUAAAAA